UAUAGGAUUGAAAAAUUAAGUUUUAUUUAUUUAAAUAGCUACUAAUCUUUUUUCUUCUGUAGGUUUAUCUAAUGUUGAAGAUUUUGAUCACUGGGUACUCUGGUUCGGUAGCAGCCAUGUAUAGACUACUUCUAUUAACAGCACCGGGUGACCGGACGUUUUACCAGGAAACGCAAACCUCCAGGGAACAUCGUUUUAGCUGCAAUCCUGCGAGAACACCAGCAGAACCAGUAACCAAAGGAAAAUGUGCGAAAAGGAGCAAGGAAAAUCGCGCGAUCUGGGCCAACUACUGGUGGAGCGAAGGGAGAUUCGACGGCAGGGGCAACUGGUUCCAGGGAGGAUGAGGAGGAGACAAAAAUGAAAAUAACUGACAAUUUCAUGGGACAAGCGUGGCCCAGUGGAAUUCUACAUAGAACUUUCGUUCGAGGUGGCCACCCUGGUCGUUGACUUUGGACAUCAUCUGCACAUGCUGCUGUGGGUCAAAGUGUUCCUUUCGUUGGCCAGCCUGGUGAUCAUCAUGCAGUUGCACUGUCUGAUCAACGAUAUCCAAAGGAAGUUCAAGAAGUACCGUAGCAGAAUUCUGACAACUGUGCCGUAUGCUGGGAGAAGAUGGAAAUCAUCCGGAAGCUACCCUGUUCGCAUUUGUUUCAUAACUCAUGCCUUCAAUCUUGGUUGGAACAGGACACCAGUUGUCCGACGUGUCGGCUCGGAUUGAGCGUUAACAAUGCGAAUGUGGCCAAUAUUUUGCAGAAUGAAAUGGACCGGGACGAACAGCAAACAAUCACUUCAUUCUUUAAUGCUCUUGUUACGUGGUUGCCAAAUUUCUCGAUGGAAGUGACUCAUAUUAAUUCGGUCCCGAUUUCCACUCUCUACACUCAUUGCCGAUGAGCGCCUUCAGAUGCCGGUUGGAUUACAAGAGUUCGAAGAUAUAGUAGACGAAGAUGUAAAAUACGGGUCCAUUCCGAUAUUUUCCCAACCGCCUGAAUAUUUACCAAAAGCUCCUGCUCGCGCGGAACUGCAGCGCUGAUUCAAUGUGCCUUUUGACUGAUUCGACUGACGAGGAGGGAGGAAGAGGAGGUCGAAGAGUGAGACGGAUAUUGUAUGUCGACUUGUCGAGGGAAGACAACUCUCCAACGACGACCACCGCAAGUUCCGGCGCUUUUUCAUCUCCGAAUUGGCCCGAUGACCUUUUUGUCGAUGCCAUGGAUAACAACUUCCAUCCAGCAUCCUCGUCAGCAGCAUUCGCCAUCAUCAUCAUCGGUGGCUUCCUCGCUCAGCUCCGACAGUUCCUCCGCGCCGCCGCAUACGAUUGUUACCGGUCAUGGCUACAGCCCUAGCAGAAGUAUUAGCAACGAUAAUCAUAUUAGUAACAGUAGAAGUACCAGCAGUAGCAGUAGUAAUAGUAAUAAAUUACUUACCAGCUUUUUCGGUGACUUCGACCGUGGAGUGGUUUUCGAAAAGCUCAGAAGAGCGGGAACGAAUUCUGUAGAGGAGAAAAUCGAUGCUGCUGCACGUUAUGAGGAGAAGAUUACUUCCGGAAGGCCAUAAUCCUGAGCGAGAUGGACCAAGCUUUGCAAAAGUUUGCGCAAAAGGGUCGUAACUCGUGCCCCCAAAAGCAGUUGUUGGCAGAAGAAUUUUUGCGACACUACCGCGGCCAGUUGACGUUACAUUGUGCAUCGCUGGUCUUCAAGAAUGACGAAUGUCGAUUAUUGUUCAAGGUUUAACGCGAUAACAAAAUUUGGAACACAGCAGAAGAUCUGAUCAAUCAA